UCCGAUAUGGUGUAGUGGCUAACAUCGUUCGCUCUCAUUGGGAUAUGGGUUCCUCGCCUAGUAUCCUAUGAAGGUCCGAACAGCCCCGGGUUCGAUUCCCGGUGUCGGAA